CGCUGGAGAGAAAUGGCGUAGCGCGUUGUCCACCGCCACAGUGCAACGGGGCCAGGCUCACGAGCCUACGAGAGCCUGGCCAUGGUCCCUUCAAUAAGCACGAUGGAAAUACCUUUGGGACACCGUUCCAGUUUUCUCGUUUCCGGGCCAGCACCAGAUCAGGGGAAACGUGCCCCUCAUAUUCCAUUUCAAGAAAAGUCACAACAUCUUUAAUCCGAACACGAGAAACUCGUGACCAGAUAAGAGACCAUACUGUCUUGGUUCUUCAAACUACCCUCCAUCCUGAUUCUCUGCCCUUCCUCCAGCAUUAUGUCAGGGAAGUGUUCAGUCAACACACCAAUUGGCAUUGGUCUAUGGGGAUAUCAUCUCUGCACUUUGAAGAUAACCUAAAGAAAACUCCUUUUUGUGUCCAAGCAAGUCCAUAAUUUUACCACAGUCUUCACCAGAGCAGUUAUCUGGUAAUUUUUUGUACAAAACAAAAAUCCUGAUAAUUCCACUUAAGUAUAAAUAUGAUAGCUGGUUGUAUUAAUAGGAAGUGAACAUUGAAUUAGAGACAGACUGUACAUCUCAAUUAGCUCCCUAUUUCGUAAAUCAGUAUAUAGUGUACAUGAAUUCGGGCACUGCCAAGGGUGUGCUUCCACUAAGCAUUAGGACUCUUAUGACUCAAAUACCUGCAACAGGAUUAGGAGCUCACACAUUAAAACACAGCUGGUAUUAAUCAACAACAUUGCUGUUUAAAUGACACUGUCAGGCAUUUUCAUUGUAGAUAUUCAAACGUAGUGUUAUUAUAAAAGAUAAGUGAAGAAAUAAAUAUAUAAAGUUUGUUUUAAACCUUCUUCUUAAAACUCUAACAAUUAAAAGAUUGUUUCCCCUUUAAUGUUCAUUAUGGAUGAAAGACAUUACAAACAAUAUCUCUUUUAAAGAGGAAAUAAAGCUUUGACUUAAUAGUUUUACACUUGUGCAUGACUUGAAGGACUUCAGAAGACAUAACAAUGUUUCCAGAAAGAGAACAUUGUGAGCAGCUAUGCUCCCUGGUUUUUAUGGUGCAUUCUGGGAGUUUUUAGGCAGAGUUUGUUUCAGUACACUGGAACGAUUUUGUGCUUGAGACCACCCUGGAAAAGGCUGAUUCCCUGAUCAGUGCCCUGACUACUGAACUAGGAGGCUGAUUGAGAUGCACACAUAGCAUACAGCAUGCAGCACUUGCUUUGCAGGUAUAAAGUUUGUAUGUUAAAAAGCCAAAUCGUGCAUGCAACCUGCAUUUCAGCUGAAGUAGCUUCGCCUAACUGUUUUAUUACCUGCAGAUUAAGUGCCUAGGUAUUGUCUCUUUAUAACAACUUGUGUCUCGAGUCUGUUGCCAUGGUUUAGAACUUAACCCUACAGUUAAAACACUGCUUGGUCAUUUAGUCUUUGAAAUUGACAGUAAACUGUAGACAAAUAACUGUUCUCUUAAUUCAGAUCUCAUAAUGGUGCUUCAGCAAAAUCACGAACCAUGUACUUUAUGUACUUUCCAUGUUCUGAACAAACCAAGACAGACAGGCAUGUUGACAUAACCCAAGCAUACUUAAUAGAUUCCACUGGUAACCUUUCUAUUUGGGGUGGGGUUCUAAUGAGAUGCAAGUGCUAAUGAUGACAUAGAAAUAUUUUACUACCUCAGAUGAGUAAAGUUACCACAGCUCAGACCCACACAGUGAGUACUUUAAUAAUCAGACAAUAUUCACCUGUUUUUCUUGCUGUAAUACAAAAAACAACAGUCCUUGUCUGUCAAAUGGUUUGGUGAUCUGAGACCAUGUGUGUUAAAGAGUAGUGAGUGUGUUUUGAUUUUAUGUAAAUAGUUUUUAUUAUAAGGGUUGAUGGAAUACAUUUCACAAUAUUAGUAUAGAUACCUGUUAGAUUACUGGUGGCAUAUUUGACCUGGGUUACAGUGUGAGGAUGCACUACAAAUUAGACAUGUGUCCCAUUUUCAUCCAAAAUGGUAACAUUCUCAAGUUUAUUAUCCUCAGUGAAUAGUAAUAGGCCUGAAGAAAGGCAGUAGAACAGUUAGAUAUUAGGGUCAUAAUGUGUUUCAACAGAGGUGUAUGUCUUUAUUCGGACAUCUCAAAAAGAAAAAGGGGCCGUUCAUACUGAAUGCAUUUUUUUCCCUGCAUCCUUUUGUGCUAUUUUUUUUUUUUAUUGUAUUUGCUUGUAAUACAAAGACCGAUGAAUUUAGCUGCAGGAGUUCCAUGUUUUUUUUUUUAGAUGCAAUGACAAAUCAAAAAGAACUUCCAACUUCAAAAAUGCAUCUUGAGACACCUGCGUUUUGUUCUAAUUGUUGCAUUGCGUCUAGCUUUUUAUAAGUGCUAGAAUGUGUUCGUUCUGAUCAGUGUUGGGUAAAUUGCUUAAAAAUAGUAAUCCAUUACAAAUAAAUAAUUAUUUUUCUAUAAAUUGUAAUCAUAUUACUUUACUAUUUACUUCAUUGAUAAAUUAAUCACAUUGCUAAUUACUUUUAAGUUACUUUCUUAAACUCUUUUAUGCUCAACAAAUAUAUUUAUUUUUCUUUGUUAAACACAAGACAUUAGAACUACAGAUUAGAACUACUUUGUAAUUGGAUUACUCCCAACACUGGGUCUGAUCAGCCCCUAAAAUGGUCUGAAUUUGUGACGGAUUAGCUUGCACUGUGAAAAAUAAUUCCGCUUUUAAAGUCAGUUUAGCCCAGGACAUGAUUUAAUGUAUGCUAUGAAAGUGUUCCCCAAUGUUUUCCUAGUUAAAGUUUUGUUGAAUAGGUAUUUUUUAUUCAAGGAAUCGUUGGACUGCUAGAAAUGAGUGUCGUGUACCCCAUUAUAUGAGAUGACUGAGUAUGAUAUAAUACAUAAUAGUAGUCAGGCCUCAGCAUGGGAAAUGUGCAAUAUUCGUUUCUUCCCUUCUGGUCUUGUUUUGAGAUGAAUAUGUAUAUUGUACAAACAAGUGACAAGUUGUUCGCAAAAACAACAAAAUCACCAAUGUCUUCCAUUAAAUGAUGUAUAGUUUCAUCCGCUUGCUUUAGGGUGGCGGGAUUUGUAGUGCCAGCAUUAAAUGUGGCCAUGCAUGUACGGUAGCGAUGCUUGCUGAGUUUAGUAGUCGUAGUGACAUUCAGUAUAUGGUAUAAAGUUGUUUAGAAAAUAAAUACAAUUAGGCAGACAAAGAUUUAGUUAGUAACCACCAUGGAUGCAGCAUCCAUACCUUGAUCGAUUUGAUUCUGAGGCAAGUCAUCUUCACUUGAACUGAGAGGUCAAGCUUUGUUCGAGGAAAGUUUAUUUUCUGUUUUGCGAUAAAGCAGUGGUUUAUUGUUUGGGUAUUCAUUAGUUAAUAAUGUGUUGUAGCAUCCUGAGGAUUAGAAAGAUGGCGGUUUGUAUUAACGUGCGGCUAGCCAUCCUAAAGUACAUGUUUAUGUUUCAUAUGCACUGUGUGAGUUUGUACUGUGCAAAAUGAAGUUCUCGGCCCAAAAUAGGUGACUCAGAUUAAAAUGCCUGUCAAAGGUAUAGUUCACCCAAAAAUGAAAAUUCGGUAAUUUACUCACCCUCAUUUUGCUCCAUACUUGUAUUACUUUUUCUACUUUGGAACAAAAAGUAGAUGAAUGUUAGGAAACGUUUUUGUUGUGCCAAGGUAUUUGUUUGAUGAAAUUUCUCCUGUUCACGCACAUCUCUAAAUUCUUGACCUAGGAGAACUCGGUUGGUCGAAUAGCAUUGAGGAUUGGUUAAAACUUAUCGUGGGUGUGGUAUGGAUGUGAUAUUUUAAUUUUUUAUAAACUUUCAAUCACACGUGCCAAUUGAGGGGUAGUUACCUAGGUUACAAUUGUUAAAAAUUGAUAACUUUGAAGCCCGUCCCUCAGAGAUAGUGCAGAAGUAAUUUUUUUUUUUUUGUAUGUGCUGUUUUUAUGAAGUCAGAUCAGAUAAUUUGUCUGAUGGGACAGUAUGAAAAAUGCUAAAAUAAAACAAAAAUGGGUGAUUUGAAAAUAAUUAUGAUGUUUUACACAUAUGAUGUUUUAGCCUGUGAAUUUAAUUGUUUUUGGUUUUUAAAUGUACAUUAAUACCAACCCACUCCAAUAAAUUGGGAUAUUUGAGAAUUUACCACUGUGAAACAUCACCAUUUCUUCUAAUAAUGCUUAUUAAGCAUUUGGGCACUGAACACACAAGUUUGAUAAGUUUAGAAAGUGGAAUUUUCCCCCAAUCAUCCAUAAUGUAUCCUUUAGCUGCACAAUUUUACGGGGACUUCAUUGCCAUCGCUUAAGAGGAUGUGCUUAAUAAUUCGCCACACAUUCUCAAUUGGAGAUGGUCAGGAGGCAGGCCAAUCUAGCAUCUGCACUCUCUGCUUACACAGCCAUGGCUUCUGCUUUGCAUAGUAAAGUCUUAACUUGCAUCUGUGGAUGCAGCGGCGAGUGGUGUUUACUAACAAUGGUUUCUAAAGUAAUCCCAAGCACAUGCUCAUGAUAUCCAUGUUUUUUUAAGACAGUGAUGUCUGAGGGAUCCGAGAUAACGUGCACUCAGUAGUGGUUUUCUUCUAGCCCUUUACGCACUGCGAUUUGACCAGAUUUCUUGAAACUUAUAACUAUAUUGUGCACUUUAGAGGGUGAAAUGCCCCAAAUUCUUCCAAUUUGUCUUUGGGAACAUUGUUCUCAAAGUGCUGGAUUUAUUUACUGAAGCAUCUGUUGGCAGAUUGACAAGUCUUGAACGAUCCUUUCUAGGACUAGGCUGUUUUUGGAGGCUCCUUAUACAGUUCUAUGACACAAUUGCCUCACCUGUUUAACAUCUGUUUCACACCGCUUUAUUUCAACUCGUCAUUACAUAAAUUGUUAUUAGUCUUAAAUUGCCCGUCUCAACUUUUUUGGAGCAUGUUGCAAUCAUCUGAUUAAAUUACUGUACAUUAAAAAGAAAACUAUACAAUUCACAAGGUAAACAUCAGGUUAUGUGUAGUUGUAGUUCUUCAAUAUAGCAAAGGGUGAAUAUAAUUUACAAAUCACUUUUUUUUUUUUUUCUUUUUUUUUUAUAUUGUCCCAACUUUUUCGGAAUUGGGGUUGUAUUUGUGUAUUGGCUUUGUUCGCCUAGGAUGCUUUAGUUCAUCCAGGAGAAAAAAAUGUGGCUUCUUCCAUAGUAUAAAUUAGGCUUACGUCAUCAUUCACUUUCUUUCUUUUUUCAAACAUUGAAAAUUAAUGGCCACUUAGGCUAACAUUUUGCCUAACAUGUCCUUUUAUGUUUCAUACAGCUUUGGAACAAAAUUAGGGUGAAUAAUUUAUUAAAAUGUUGGGGUGAACUAUCCAUUUAGCAUGAAUCUUAUUAAGAAAUAUACUGGCCUCCAUUUAUAAGAAGAUAUUACAGGUAUAGUAGAGACAUUUAGUGUAGUCUCAUUCUAGACCUAUUUCAUGGAAACAAAGUAUUAACUUUGUUAAAUCUUUUGCUAAAAUGGAACAUCUUGAUAUAAUGUUUGAGCUGAUCAUGUUGUGACCAGACACACAGGUGAAUACAGUAAGCUACUCCCUGAUAAGAUAGGGUAACUAAGAACUGUGUUUGUAUAACUCAUACCUCUAAAGUUGCAUUCUCCAUCAGGUAAUGUUGUCUCAAACUAGAGUUGUAGAUAGAUUAUACAAAGUAGUUUAAACUCUAGAUUUUAAAACAAAGUGUAGAAUAGUAAAUGGCAUAAAGCAAUUAUCAAAGCAUUGUAAUGUAGAUAAAUACCUCAAUGACUUGAAUGCAAACUAUAUUUUAAAUAUACUCUGAGAUAUGCAAGCCAUAAUGUGUAUUAAGUUCAUCGUUUAGUAGCAAUAAUAAUUUUAUGCAUGAAUUAUAGUGUCAGGAUAGUUCAGUGGUGUUUGUGAAAUAGAAAUCUGUAGCAUUAGUGACAGUGGUAAUUGUUUGAUCCAGAACAUCCCAUUGCUCAUACUGAAAUAUAUACACAUAAAGGCGUGAACUGGCUGUUAACAGCCUAAUUUCAUUACUCAUUGACUCAUCAAGUUAAUUCACAAGGGUAGCACUUAAGGUCUUACAAUUAUUAAAAAAAAAAUUGUUUUUUUAACUGGUGGGAAAAUUAAUGGAAAAUAUCUAUAUAUGCAGGGCCUGUGCCCUCUUAUUGACUUUGCAUGUUUACAUACAAACCAUUGUGGAAGGCACAAGCUGUAAGGUGAUUUGCAGUUUAUUUCCAUUAACAGCAAUAUAAGCAGUGUUCUGAGUGGCCGUUUGUGACACUCUGAUGAAUCAUUAUCUCCAUGAAUCCAAAUUAAACAGGACACAACACCUUCACAAUAUUGAGAGGAUUGUGGUGGAAUCUUUUCAUUCAAAAAAAGUAUUUUUAAUAGGAGUCCAAAAAACAUUUACUGAUGCAUGGUAGAAGUGGGUAAGAAAUGUUUUGUGCUGCAUGCAAUAAUUAAGCUUUGCUUAAACAUAUUUAUGCAGAAAUGUGAUGUACAUAAAUCUAUGAGUGAACCAUUUUUGUGAUUUUUAUUUUCAAAUGCAUGAAAUCCCAAAGGUUUGUUUACUGUAAAUUAUUUACAGGUGAAUAUGUGAACUCAUUAAGACGUAACUUUUUUUUUGGAUUUGAUUGUGUAACGAAAAUGUUAUGAAUAUGAAGAGGCAAAGUCAGAUUCUGACAGAUGCAAAUGUUUUAACCGGAAAAUACACAAAUAUAAUUUGAUUAGUUUUGAUCCAUGUUCACUACUAAUGAUACAAAGAUAAAAGGCUUUGCUGGCCUGUUAUGAUUUGCAUUGCAGAUUUUGCCUCUGAAUGUGAAACUCUAUGCUUGGUCUGAUCUAUGCACUACAGAUGCGUCCCGCAUGAUUUUGUACUAUACAAAAAUAUGUAUAAAAUUUUAGCAAUAAAAAAGCAGCAUGUGC